GAUGAACGCUGGCGGCGUGCCUAAUACAUGCAAGUCAAGCGAACGGACGAGAAGCUUGCUUCUCUGAUGUUAGCGGCGGACGGGUGAGUAACACGUGGAUAACCUACCUAUAAGACUGGGAUAACUUCGGGAAACCGGAGCUAAUACCGGAUAAUAUUUUGAACCGCAUGGUUCAAAAGUGAAAGACGGUCUUGCUGUCACUUAUAGAUGGAUCCGCGCUGCAUUAGCUAGUUGGUAAGGUAACGGCUUACCAAGGCAACGAUGCAUAGCCGACCUGAGAGGGUGAUCGGCCACACUGGAACUGAGAAACGGUCCAGACUCCUACGGGAGGCAGCAGUAGGGAAUCUUCCGCAAUGGGCGAAAGCCUGACGGAGCAACGCCGCGUGAGUGAUGAAGGUCUUCGGAUCGUAAAACUCUGUUAUUAGGGAAGAACAUAUGUGUAAGUAACUGUGCACAUCUUGACGGUACCUAAUAAGAAAGCCACGGCUAACUACGU
rnacentral:rRNA from 1 species